UACGUAGGGUGCGAGCGUUAAUCGGAAUUACUGGGCGUAAAGCGUGCGCAGGCGGUUUUGUAAGCCAGGUGUGAAAUCCCCGGGCUCAACCUGGGAAUGGCAUUUGGGACUGCAAGGCUGGAGUGCGGCAGAGGAGACUGGAAUUCCUGGUGUAGCAGUGAAAUGCGUAGAUAUCAGGAGGAAUACCGAUGGCGAAGGCAGGUCUCUGGGCUGACACUGACGCUCAUGCACGAAAGCGUGGGGAGCGAAACAAGGAU
rnacentral:rRNA from 1 species